rnacentral:lncRNA from 1 species
GUGAAUCCCAGGGAAGCCAUGAGCUGCCACAUCACGCCCGGAAGGAAGCGGGCUGCGUUGGAGGGGAAAAGACGCACCAGCAGCCUAGAAUUCGAGGCACUGCAGAGCCGGAAGGGGCCUCGGCGCUGCUCCCUCCGCCCCCUCAUUUCACAAACCGGAAACUGAGACCCAAAGCAAGGAAGGGACUUGGCCAAGUUGAAGAGAUGAAGGCGCAGAGGCAUGAACUCCCGUAGCCAGAGAGUGUGAGCUGGACUCUACCUGGAGCAGCCUCGGUGCAGAGCCCAUGCCCCCAACCAUGUCCGUGGUCGAGGCCCAGCCCAGACAGGGCACAAAGGGGCUGAGGAAGAGGAAGUAAGAUGCCAGGGUUGCCAUGCAGGAGGGCAACCCCAAGUGAGAUGGGCAUCGUGGCCUAGGGCCCACCUUCCGGAAGAGCUCAUCAGAACUUCGGACACACUGCAUGGGCCUAGACCCAGGGCUCGUUGAGCUCCUCCCUCGGAUUGGCUUCGAAUUUUAGCUUCCGGCCCCAGCAGUUCUCGGACCUGGGGUAGUUUCCUCCCCGCAAGUAACAAAGGAGGACAAGCCCCAGCUUCUCUAAGAUGCCUU